UCAACGCAAAAAGCCUCUCAACUUAAACCCAACCCGACGAACUCCCUCCUUCAUCUCUAAAACCCCUCCCUCUCUCUCUCUCUCUCUCUCUCUCUCUCUCUCUCUUCUUUUACUCUACUCUCUCUCUCCUUCACCUGCGAAUCGUCGAUUGCUCGAAGCUUAUCAAUAUAGACAGUUCAUCUUGCUUCGACAAUAAUUUUUCACCCUCCAUUUUUGUGAAUCUACAGAUACAAAAUAAAAAUAAAAAUUGCAGAUAGCUAUCAUCUUGGGCUAAAGCGGUUCAUCGUUAUUGUUGUCAUUUUGAAAACAAUUACAUUCUUGCAGUAGCGCCAUUUCUGUAACCUGUUUCCCCUGCUAAACAGGCCUUCUAUAACCUCUGCUGGGUUUGGAAAAAAAGAAAAGAAAAAAGAAAUUCAAGUUAAAAAGGGUCAGCAGAAAGAGAAGGGAAGGCAUCAUCCAUAUGGAAAGUAGUAAUAGUAGAGCGGAAGAGUUGGCAGCUCCUCUCAAUGAUCUCCCCCACGUUGACUUCUGCUGUGCCUACGGAUCUUCUCUCCUCCCAAAUAACUCUAACAAGAAACCAAUGGUUGAUUACAUUUUAGGUGUAUCAGAUCCCAUGCAGUGGCAUUCUCAGAAUCUUGAGAAGAACAGACAUCAUUAUGGAUCAUUUUUAGCAUACCUUGGUUCAAGAACGAUUACGCAAGUUGCGGAUGAGAUAGGAGUAGGGGUACACUUUAAUCCAUACGUGCGGUUUGAGGAUAAGGUGAUCAAAUAUGGGGUUAUUCGAAUGCAUGAUUUGUUACAAGAUGUAUUGACAUGGAACAGGUUUUACAUAAGUGGUCGCUUACAGAAACCUGUUCAUAUUCUAGUGGAUAGUUUGGAUGUUGGGAAUGUCAACUUGGUGAAUUUAAAGGCCGCUGCUUCAGCUGCACUGCUUCUGUUGCCAUCUGAAUUCAAUGAGGAAGAUCUGUAUGCCAAGAUCUGUUCUCUCUCAUACAUGGGCGACCUGAGAAUGCUAUUUGCAGAGGACAAAAACAAGGCAAAAAGUAUUGUUUCUGGAAGUCUUGACAAGUUUCGGCAACUGUAUACACCAUUUCUAUGUGAGUUUGAUACCAAAGGAUUGCUGAAAUUUUCUCCGACUGGAGAUCCAGAUUCAAAAAUAGUUCAGGACUGCAGCUUAUCCGCAGCUUGUUCCCUUGUUUCUUUCCUUCCUGCUACAGUGCAGAGCCGAAUGUGUGCUGAGUUAGGAGAGAAGCAAUAUAUGAGUGAAUCUGGGAGACUCAGACGCCAAGUUGUUGUCCCAUCCAAAGAAGCAGCUGCAAAGUGCAUGGAGAAAGCAUUGAGGCGAUUGGUUGCCGUUUCGAGCACGCGGCAGGCAGUUUCUGGAUUCUUUGCUGCCGGAGGUGUCAAUGCAGGUCGUUAUCUGGUAAGCAAGAUAUCAAAGGCACUGUCUUCCCGUUCAUGAAAUCUCACAACACAUAUAUGGAGUAAGGAGGCUCAAGUGAAAAUGUUCUCGGCAAGCUAGAAGAUAUUAAUUUAAAAAAUUACUCUAAAAUCUUGCAUUUCGGCCGGGGAUGAUAUCCAUUCAAGUUGACCCAACCCGCUUUCGAUCUGCCAGGUUGAUCCAGGAGGUUAGUUCAAGUUUGCUUGACCUGGACCUGGCAUGUCAGGUUUAUGUCCUCUUGACCCAGACCCACCCAGGUCUGGGUCCACCCUCAACCCAGACCUGACAUGUUUACAUCGCGCCCUUUCUUUUUCCUCUUUAUAUUAUAAAAUGUUGUACCG